rnacentral:rRNA from 1 species
AAUCAACGCUGGCGACGUGCCUAACACAUGCAAGUCGAACGAGAAAGCGGGGGCAACUCCGUGAGUAAAGUGGCGACCGGGUGAGUAACACGUGACCAAUCUACCCUCGAGUGGGGGAUAACUCCGGGAAACCGGAGCUAAUACCGCAUAACAUCUUUGGAACCCAGGUUCUGAAGAUCAAGGGAGCAAUUCGCUUGAGGAGGAGGUCGCGGCUGAUUAGCUAGUUGGUGGGGUAAAGGCCCACCAAGGCGACGAUGCGUAGCUGGUCUGAGAGGAUGAUCAGCCACACUGGGACUGAGACACGGCCCAGACUCCCACGGGAGGCAGCAGCCAGGAAUCUUGGGCAAUGGGCGCAAGCCUGACCCAGCAACGCCGUGUGGGCGAUGAAGGCCUUCGGGUCGUAAAGCCCUGUUGAUAGGGACGAAGGGCGAAGGGUUAAUAGCCCCUAGCCUGACGGUACCUUUCGAGGAAGCCCCGGCUAACUUCGUGCCAGCCGCCGCAGUAAAAC